rnacentral:sRNA from 1 species
CAACUGCCGAAGACAGUAGGUGCUGAAAAGCGUAAGUUAUGAACGCCUACCGAGGAAGAAUGAAUUUUUACAUGCGUAUGAAUUUGUAGAACCUCCACGUCUUUGGACAUGGGGAUUUUUUUAG